GCUCAAAGUCUUUCGGAAUGCUGAGAAGUACUAUGGGCGUAAAUCCCCAGUUGGGAGAGAUGUUUGUCGUCUACGAAAGGCCUAUUACAAUGCCCGGCAUGAGGCAUCAGCCCAGAUUGAUGAGAUUGUGGGAGAGACAGCAAGUGAGGCAGACAGCAGUGAGACCUCAGUCUCUGAAAAGGAGAAUGGGCAUGAGAAGGACGACGAUGUUAUUCGCUGUAUCUGUGGCCUCUACAAGGAUGAAGGUCUCAUGAUCCAGUGUGACAAGUGCAUGGUAUGGCAGCACUGUGAUUGUAUGGGAGUGAACUCAGAUGUGGAGCACUACCUUUGUGAGCAGUGUGACCCAAGGCCUGUGGACAGGGAGUAUGACCAAAGGGAAAAUAAAAUACUUAGAAAUCUGUGGAAGGAAUGGCACUAUAUAAAACUAAGGUUUUUGGCCGGGCACGGUCGCUCAUGCCUGUAAUCCUAGCACACUGGGAGGCUAAGGCGGAUGGAUUGCCUGAGCUCAGGAGUUCGAGACCAGCCUGGGCAACACGGUGAAACCCCAUCUCUACUAAAAUACAAAAAAAAUUAGCCGGGCAUGGAGGCGUGCACCUGAAGUCUCAGGAGGUUCCCAUGAUCCCUCGGCCCCACUAUGCCCAACCUGGCUGUGUCUACUUCAUCUGUUUGCUCCGAGAUGACUUGCUGCUUCGUCAGGGUGACUGUGUGUAUCUGAUGAGGGAUAGUCGGCGCACCCCUGAUGGCCACCCGGUCCGUCAGUCCUAUCGACUGUUAUCUCACAUUA
rnacentral:lncRNA from 10 species